rnacentral:rRNA from 1 species
GGCCUAACACAUGCAAGUCGAGCGCACCCUUCGGGGCGAGCGGCGGACGGGUUAGUAACGCGUGGGAAUGUACCCUUCUCUAUGGAAUAGCCUCGGGAAACUGAGAGUAAUACCAUAUACGCCCUUCGGGGGAAAGAUUUAUCGGAGAAGGAUCAGCCCGCGUAAGAUUAGAUAGUUGGUGGGGUAAUGGCCUACCAAGUCUACGAUCUUUAGCUGGUUUUAGAGGAUGAUCAGCAACACUGGGACUGAGACACGGCCCAGACUCCUACGGGAGGCAGCAGUGGGGAAUCUUAGACAAUGGGCGCAAGCCUGAUCUAGCCAUGCCGCGUGUGUGAUGAAGGCCUUAGGGUCGUAAAGCACUUUCGCCAGGGAUGAUAAUGACAGUACCUGGUAAAGAAACCCCGGCUAACUCCGUGCCAGCAGCCGCGGUAAUACGGAGGGGGUUAGCGUUGUUCGGAAUUACUGGGCGUAAAGCGCACGUAGGCGGAUCAGAAAGUUGGGGGUGAAAUCCCGGGGCUCAACCCCGGAACUGCCUCCAAAACUCCUGGUCUUGAGUUCGAGAGAGGUGAGUGGAAUUCCGAGUGUAGAGGUGAAAUUCGUAGAUAUUCGGAGGAACACCAGUGGCGAAGGCGGCUCACUGGCUCGAUACUGACGCUGAGGUGCGAAAGUGUGGGGAGCAAACAGGAUUAGAUACCCUGGUAGUCCACACCGUAAACGAUGAAUGCCAGUCGUCGGGCAGUAUACUGUUCGGUGACACACCUAACGGAUAAGCAUCC